UUGCAGAUGUGUUCAUCUGUAAUAGAUACACCUCAUGACUUUAACAGAAAUUCAAACCUGAUACAAUAGAGAGUAUUCGAUUCUAAAUUCUAAGGUGAACUUAGUUCACCAUAACCAUAGAGAUAAAAAGUAGGAACCACUUGUGGAUUUGUUUUUACCAGCUCUUAUGGAUUCCAAUAUACCCAUCCCCAAUGGGUAUACUGCAAUCAACUCAUAAAACCAUUUUCCAGUACACUAAGAUGUAAAUGAUACAGAAUUAACCAAGAAGCUAUAAAAAUGCACAUAACAAAAAAUUUAUGCAUAGUGUAAGCAACCUAACCUGGCAGCAAUCAGGUAUCUCCCAAUCUAAACAGCUGCUUGGGAUUCUAAGAUAAAAUAAGGGACCAAAAUCAUAUAGUUUCCUAGCAACAUGUACAUCUAUAAUAUGCUUAAACCGCUAAACAAUAGAUAUCUAUUUGGAAAUGCAGGAUCUCUCCUACGUCAUGUACUAUUUGAAGCCAAAAGCAACUUGUUUCACAUCUGGCGGGCUGCUUACUGCUUAGACACCUUGACUAGGCGAACAUAGCGCAAAAGAGACCUUAGAUGCUUCAAGCUCUACUGUAGCAUCCACAACUUCUGUAUCUGCAUUGGACUGGACAUGUCAAUCGUUUGCUUAUCUGUCUACUCUUGUAUUUACAUUUUAGUUGGAUACUAGACAAGUUGGAUCCGAUGCUUUCCAUCACAACCAUUGAACUAGUUUCUUUUAGCCCCUGUUCUCAAAAUCAUUGACCAUGCUUCACAG
rnacentral:misc_RNA from 1 species